CGAAAGGGAAACAGCCCAGACCACCAGCUAAGGUCCCAAAAUAUAUGUUAAGUGGAAAAGGAUGUGGCGUUGCCCAGACAACUAGGAUGUUGGCUUAGAAGCAGCCAUCAUUUAAAGAGUGCGUAAUAGCUCACUAGUCGAGUGACACUGCGCCGAAAAUGUACCGGGGCUAAACAUAUUACCGAAGCUGUGGAUUGUCCUUUGGACAAUGGUAGGAGAGCGUUCUAAGGGCGUUGAAGCAUGAUCGUAAGGACAUGUGGAGCGCUUAGAAGUGAGAAUGCCGGUGUGAGUAGCGAAAGACGGGUGAGAAUCCCGUCCACCGAUUGACUAAGGUUUCCAGAGGAAGGCUCGUCCGCUCUGGGUUAGUCGGGUCCUAAGCUGAGGCCGACAGGCGUAGGCGAUGGAUAACAGGUUGAUAUUCCUGUACCACCUAUAAUCGUUUUAAUCGAUGGGGGGACGCAGUAGGAUAGGCGAAGCGUGCGAUUGGAUUGCACGUCUAAGCAGUAAGGCUGAGUAUUAGGCAAAUCCGGUACUCGUUAAGGCUGAGCUGUGAUGGGGAGAAGACAUUGUGUCUUCGAGUCGUUGAUUUCACACUGCCGAGAAAAGCCUCUAGAUAGAAAAUAGGUGCCCGUACCGCAAACCGACACAGGUAGUCAAGAUGAGAAUUCUAAGGUGAGCGAGCGAACUCUCGUUAAGGAACUCGGCAAAAUGACCCCGUAACUUCGGGAGAAGGGGUGCUCUUUAGGGUUAACGCCCAGAAGAGCCGCAGUGAAUAGGCCCAAGCGACUGUUUAUCAAAAACACAGGUCUCUGCUAAACCGUAAGGUGAUGUAUAGGGGCUGACGCCUGCCCGGUGCUGGAAGGUUAAGAGGAGUGGUUAGCUUCUGCGAAGCUACGAAUCGAAGCCCCAGUAAACGGCGGCCGUAACUAUAACGGUCCUAAGGUAGCGAAAUUCCUUGUCGGGU
rnacentral:rRNA from 1 species